CCUACGGGGGGCAGCAGUAGGGAAUCUUCCACAAUGGGAAAGCCUGAUGGAGCAACGCCGCGUGGGUGAAGAAGGUCUUCGGAUCGUAAAACCCUGUUGUUAGAGAAGAAAGUGCGUGAGCGUAACUGUUCACGUUUCGACGGUAUCUAACCAGAAAGCCACGGCUAACUACGUGCCAGCAGCCGCGGUAAUACGUAGGUGGCAAGCGUUAUCCGGAUUUAUUGGGCGUAAAGGGAACGCAGGCGGUCUUUUAAGUCUGAUGUGAAAGCCUUCGGCUUAACCGGAGUAGUGCAUUGGAAACUGGGAGACUUGAGUGCAGAAGAGGAGGGUGGAACUCCAUGUGUAGCGGUGAAAUGCGUAGAUAUAUGGAAGAACACCAGUGGCGAAGGCGGCUCUCUGGUCUGUAACUGACGCUGAGGUUCGAAAGCGUGGGUAGCAAACAGGAUUAGAUACCCGAGUAGUC
rnacentral:rRNA from 1 species